rnacentral:sRNA from 1 species
AUUAACCAUACAAAUGAAUGCUGACACGGAUUAAAGGCUGUAUUUGCAUCCGUUAUCUUCACUCGUCCCUAAAAAUAACAGUCAAAUAAAAUUCGGUCAAUUUUCUCAUAUAAAAAAAAAUACACAAUUAUUUCAAUUCAACUAAUCGAGAGAUUGCCUUUUAAUUGCUUCAUUUUAUCGAAACAAUCUCCAGGGGGAAAACACAAGAAGUUUUGUCUAUGUAGCAACUAAGAGACCGUCUAUGGUUGUUAGGAUGUAACGAAGCGUUGCCUAUCCCCAUCGCAAUCUCAAUGAUGCAAUACACACAACAUCGGAACCGGAAUAUUUAAGUCUUUCAAUAGCAAAUCUGACACUUGUCAUAUGUCAGAGUUGUCAAGACGUUUAAAUUGCUUAAUACAUAAUCAUUGUUUUGUGUGUUUGGCAUUGUAGGUCUUGUACUUCACGAGACAUCGACCUGUAAUUAAUAGAAUUUGCUGUAGGAUGGAUUUCCUUUUUUUUUUCCUCUUUAGUCAUCGUACUUUUAGUGAACGAAACUGUGGAAUUUGUAUUUGACAUACUUGUUUAGCUUAAACACAGCAUAAAAGACUUGAAUUGUAAUUAAAUUCUUGUAUAUGACU